UGUCUUCAAAUGAAGUCACUUUUGUGCUGCUUUUCAGGCCUACGUGCUGGAGCACGUGAGCGAAGGAAGUGGCUGCUGAGAAGGCAUUUCUGGUCCCAAAAAUCUUUCUUUGCAGGCCCGUGGGAUUCGGUUUUUGGUGUCUAUGCAACCUUGGAGACCCCAAAAUGGCAAAGAGAAGACCCAAAGGCUAUAGGACACACGAGUUUUCACCUUCAGAGCCCUAUUUGGAAUCAGAUUGUUUUGUCCCUUAACUACAAACCUAAAUAUAAGUUUCAGGAUCACAGUAAUCCUAGGAGGAAAAGUCUCCCAUCUGUGCAGUCCCAAAAAAAGGAGGUUCUCAAGCCCUUCUGUUAUCCCUGUGUUCCUAAUAUACAAUAGCUAUGCUUGCUUUUUCUCCUCUUAAAUUACUAUAGAUCUAUUUUGGUUGACCAAAGACAGUCCCAGCUUAUUAUGUCUAUUGUUCUAAUAUAAAUUAUAAAUAGUGCUCCUUUCACCCUCAAAAAGUGUUCUGGCUUGGGUGGUAAGUUAUGUAGUUCCCUGUAUAUGGGCCACUUUUUCUUCCAUUGCUUCUUCUUCCAGUACAGCACAUGUCUGAACUCUUAUCUUCUCUACCACCACUGUUCCAUGAUGCAAGUCAGUAACCAUGCAGGUUGGAUAGAUUUAUCUUUCCAGAACUCACUCUGAUCCAUCCCUUCUAAUAAUGAUCUAAUAAUAACUUAAGCCAGAAUUUGAGAACCAGUGGGUAUAAUCCACAAAUGGUAAAUGAAUGCUAAACCCCCUACCAAUUCUGAGAUUUUUAUAUCUGUGAUAUGUAUAUAACAUGCGUAAUAAGGUAACGAGAAGGGAAGGUACCAGGGUGGAAAUAGAAAAAAAAAAAAAAAAUACCGUACGCAAGAAACUGAGAGGUUGAAACCAGUACCCAGCGUACGUCAUCCUAUAACACGUCAUUGUACCUGUAUUUGAAAGGCAUACCACAAAUAUUUGCAUACCUUGUGAUCUCUAUAGAAGAGGAAACACAGAAUACUUAACGGAAAAAAAAAUGUUCUCAUCCCUAGAACAUAUUCCUAUUCCCUAGAACUAGUUCCUAUUAGUUCAUAUAUAAAGUUAAUUCCUUAUGCAGAAAACACCUAGUUUCAAAUUUUUAAUCUAUGUUCAGGAAACCAUUAAAAAAGAAAGUUUCUAGGAGAAAGGGAACUAAAUAUAAGUGGAGGAAGAGAGAUCUGUGAACUGUUGAACGCAGGAAUCAGAUUUGCUCAAGAGGUGAGAUGAAGGCAAAUAGCAGUUAUCAGACAAGUAAUCAUGCGUUCAGCUUCCUUUGCUUCUGUGGAUUGGGGUGUGAUAGAAACAAGAAAAGGAGUGCUUCUCAGUGCUCAAAUUUCAGAUGAGUUUUGAACGUAAAGACAAGUCUUAAAGGAGCAGUGUGUCUGAGUAUUGCACUUGAGCCACAGCAAAUUUCUCAUUUUCCCAAAGUGAAAAAUAUUAAAAUCGGAUGGUCUGGGCAGCCUGGGUGGCUCAGCAGUUUACUGCCUGCCUUUGGUCCAGGGCGUGAUCCUGAAGACGGGAAUGGAGUCCCACAUCAGGUUCCCCGCAGGGAGCCUGUUUCUCCCUCUGCCUGUGUCUCUGCCUCUCUCUGUGUCUCUCAUAAAUAAAUAAAAUCUUUUUAAAAAAAUCGGAUGGUCUCCUGAGAAAGAUGAAAGAUCUUUCCUUUUAAUGAAAAUUACUGAUACAGUCUGAUUGUAGUCUGUCAUCUCGAGAAAAUGGCUCAACUUUUAGAAAUCUGAAUUCAGCCCUCACAAGGGCAGAGGCCAAGUCUUUUUCCUCUGUAUACUUCCCAAGUGGAGUGUCCAAACUGCAGUAGGUACUCCAUACAUAUCAGUUGAACUUAACUCAAAAAAAAAAAAAAUUGCCUGUAAAAAUGAUGCCUCAAAUCACUGGGGUAAGAAUGGAACUUUUAAAACCUAUGAAGACAUCUGGAUGACUGUUUGGAAAAAGAUCAAAUUUUGGAUCUGUGCUUCAUACCACACAAACUGCAAAUGGAUAGAGCUCUAAAUGUAAAAUAUGAAACCUGACAAUUUCUAAUACAAAACAUGGGUAAAUUCCUGUAAACUUGGAGGUCUAAAUAAUGACUUAAUAUCUCGAUACAGAAAAAUAGAAGUUUAAUUUUAAAAAAUCACUGAAUAUCCUAUGAGGGGGUAAGGAAAAAGGUUUUAUUUACAAUAGAAAGUAGAAACACUUCUUAAAAGUAGAAUCUCCUCUGCAUAAAAGAGUACAAAGUAUAUACCUUCAUGAACUAUCCUGUAACAUCUGCUGUUUAUCUCAUUUUUUUCAACUUAGAUAGUUGCUUCAUUGCAAUUGUUAAUGUCACUCUGUUCAGUGACUUAUAAAAUACAUGUAGGGAUUCUGUUAAUUCAGGACCUUAUCUAAAAACAAUGACGAUAGUUCUGAGGGCAGGAUCCACGUAAUGGAAUAAAUUACAUACUGCUUACUAAACAUGGUCUUAAGUAGAACUCAGAUAAAAACUGCUAUAGCAACGAGCAAUGUGGUAUAGAGUAAGAAUUAGUCCUGGAGUCCCAGCCUACUUGACUGCUCUCCACAAAUUAGGACAAUUCUGGCGGAAAAGAUUAUUCGUGUCUUCAUCCUAAUCUGAAUUUUUUUUUUUUUUCCGAUUUUGUUAUCUACAGUCAUUCAAGCCCAUGACACAUGUGGCUGAUUCCCCAGGGUGCAGGUCUUGGUGGGAGGCAGAUGCCACUGCUUCAGGAGUGAAGGAGCCAGAUCAUCCCAAUUGCAGCUCCCAGCAGCAGGGGGUGUGGCAGUGACCAGUCUCCCACAAGCCAGUUCCUUGAACCUGCGACUUUGAUCAUGUAAAGCUACAGGUGGUGCUGUUGUCCUCAGCAGAGAACCCUGUGCAAUACACCAGGCUGCCGUCAGGAGCAGAGGCAAUCACGGAAAAGAAUUCUCAGCCUCCUGUGUCUGCAUUCCCUACCCCUCCGACCUCCGGCUUUAAAACACUAUCUUUGCCACCUCUCGUUCUUCCAUUGGUCAUUGUUACUGCGUGGAUUUGCUCAAAUCAAAGAAAUCCAGAAAGUUUGGCUCUCCUCUAUGUUACACCCUUGAUUCAGCUGUUCGUCUUGGGAUCUUUUUUUGCACUGUUGCCAGGGGAAGAAUUUUAGAAUCCUCCUAAUCCCAAAUCCAAAGCAUGAAGAAAAUGACAGUUUCCACCCCUCAAAAUAUUUUUUUUCAAACAUCUAGUGCAAUACUUUCCAACAAAUAUAAGGCAAAGCACAUAUGUAAUUUGAAAUUUCCUGUAGCACAUUAAAAAAAAAAAAAGCAGAU